rnacentral:rRNA from 1 species
UCGCCUGUUUUUCAAAAACAUCGCCAGUAGAUUUACCGGUAAAAUCUGCCCAGUGUGACAUCAACGGCCGCAGUAUCUUAACUGUGCUAAGGUAGCAAAAUCAUUAGUUUUUUAAUUGAAAACCUGUAUGAAAGAUCUGACGUAAGGUUAACUUUUCCCCCGGUUGACGGAACUUACUUUGGGAGUAAAAAAGCUCCUUUAUUUCAAUUGGACGACAAGACCCUAUAAAGCUUUAUUCUUCUCUUGGCUUAUCACUUAAUUUAUCUUGCCUAAAAAGAAUUUUACUGGGGCGGUAACUCCACUAACAACACGACUCGCCCUAACAAACUGAUUGACUUUCCCGAACACCAAGAUGUAAUUAAGUCCAAGUUACUUUAGGGAUAACAGCAUAAUUUUUUUAAAGAGCCCGUAUCGACAAAAAAGAUUAUGACCUCGAUGUUGAAUUGAAGAACCUAUCUAAAGCAGCUUUUAGACAAGAAAGUCUGUUCGACUUUUAAUCCUUCACAUGAUCUGAGUUCCAAACCGGA